AGAGUUUGAUCCUGGCUCAGGACGAACGCUGGCGGCACGCCUAACACAUGCAAGUCGAACGGAGAUAUUAGCUUCGGUUAAUAUCUUAGUGGCGACGGGUGAGUAACACGUGAGCAACCUGCCUCUAAGAACGGGAUAGCUUCUGGAAACGGAUGGUAAUACCGUAUAAUGUAUUGGGAAGGCGAUCUUUCUAAUACCAAAGAUUUAUCGCUUAGAGAUGGGCUCGACGUCUAGGAUUAGCUAGAUGGUGAGGUAACGGCCCACCAUGGCGACGAUCAGUAGCCGGACUGAGAGGUUGAACGGCCACAUUGGGACUGAGACACGGCCCAGACUCCUUACGGGAGGUCAGCA
rnacentral:rRNA from 1 species